UACGUAGGAUGCAAGCGUUGUCCGGAUUUAUUGGGUUUAAAGGGUGCUUAGGCGGCCUAUUAAGUUAGUGGUGAAAACGUUCGGCUUAACCGGAUACCCGCCAUUGAUACUGAUAGACUUGAGUGCGACAGAGGGUGUUGGAAUGUGUGGUGUAGCGGUGAAAUGCUUAGAUAUCACGCAGAACACCAAUUGCGAAGGCAGAUGCCGAUGUCGUAACUGACGAUGAGGCACGAAAGCGUGGGGAGCAAACAGG
rnacentral:rRNA from 1 species